AGCGAACGCUGGCGGCAGGCCUAACACAUGCAAGUCGAACGAACCUUUCGGGGUUAGUGGCGGACGGGGGAGUAACACGUGGGAACGUGCCCUUAGGUUCGGAAUAACUCAGGGAAACUUGUGCUAAUACCGAAUGUGCCCUUCGGGGGGAAGAUUAAUCGCCUUUAGAGCGGCCCGCGUCUGAUUAGCUAGUUGGUUGAGGUAAUGGCUCACCAAGGCGACGAUCAGUAGCUGGUCUGGGAGGAUGGUCAGCCACAUUGGGACUGAGACACGGCCCAAACUCCUACGGGAGGCAGCAGUGGGGGAUCUUGCGCAAUGGGCGAAAGCCUGACGCAGCCAUGCCGCGUGAAUGAUGAAGGUCUUAGGAUUGUAAAAUUCUUUCAACGGGGACGAUAAUGACGGUACCCGGAGAAGAAGCCCCGGCUAACUUCGUG
rnacentral:rRNA from 1 species